CAUCGCGAAAAGCUUUUGUACAGAGACAGCCCCAAAGCAUGUCUUGGUUUGUUAAAGGACAGUGUUACUCCAAUAACACUUUUCCUCAAAUCGGAAAAAAAUUUAUUACCAGGGUAGCAAAUGAGUGCUGCACAGACUGGCAUCUUGUCAUACCAAGAAUCCUACCCUCUGGACAAUUUACUAUUAAGAACCUACGGUCAGUGGGGAUCACCUUCCCCUUUUGUAAGUAACCACCAAAAUGCAAUAAAUCCAUUAACUUAAAAGAAUCAGCCUUGUCAGUCAGACUUGGAAAUAAGUUUAUUUGAUUACAGAAAUUUAAGGCCUAAAAUUUGCUUUCAAGAUAAUACAGUUUCCUAUCAGAAUCUCUUAUCUAAAGGCAACACUUAGCAGUAAUUGCUGUUGCAUUGUUAAGCCUUACGCUGUAAAUAAAUACAAAGGUAUUUACAGUUCAACCUGAUUACCUCGCUUUUGAGCUGUGCUUCCCUUCCAAAACAAUGAUCCAAUGUUUAGAAAACACCUUCAGCAGAUGGAAUGAACUGGAGGGAGUGUGUCAUCUUUGAACGCGUUGGCUUAGAAUGCUUUUAUUUAAGUAUGGCAUAGUCUUUGCUUUUUCGUGCUAGUACCUCUACAAAGAUUACCGGCCUUAUUUACAUUUAUUUGUUUGCUAAGUUGGGUAAGAGAACCUCAAACGCUCCUUUGCUCGCUUGUGGUAAAGCUGAUGAGGAGGACGAGCAAAGCUGAGCGCCUUCGCUCCGGGGACAUAUUUUAAUUGCUGCUCUCUGUUUUUCCGCAGCAAAGGGAAAUAAAAUGUUACCUGUU